GAUGAAGAACGCAGCGAAAUGCGAUAAGUAAUGUGAAUUGCAGAAUUCAGUGAAUCAUCGAAUCUUUGAACGCACCUUGCGCUCUUUGGCCAUUCCAAGGAGCAUGCCUGUUUGAGUGUCAUUGAAUCCUCAAGGCCCCCUUUUCCUGCCCUUCCUUUUCAAGCUUGGGCUUUAGGGGACUUUGGACUUUGAGAGCGCUGCGGUGCCAGGCUUUCUCCGGCUCCGCUCUCCUCAAAUGCAUCAGUAGGGCCCCUCUUCCCUUUCGGGUCUUUGCGGCGUUGAUAGUCGUCCACGCCUCUGCCCGUUGGGUCCGUUGGGUCUCACCUGCUCCCUCAACCCCCCACGUUUUUCUUUAAACGCUUUUGACCUCAAAUCAGGUAGGACUACCCGCUGAACUUAAGCAUAUCAAUAAGCGGAGGA
rnacentral:misc_RNA from 1 species